rfam:Neurospora crassa OR74A linkage group II, whole genome shotgun sequence.
GGUUGUAUAGUGUAGCGGUUAUCACUCCGGAUUCUGAUGUUUUCAGAAAAUUCCGGCAACCCCGGUUCGAUUCCGGGUACGACCU